rnacentral:tRNA from 3 species
GCCUGAGUGGCGGAACUGGUAGACGCGCACGACUCAAAAUCGUGUACCGCAAGGUGUGCCGGUUCGAUUCCGGCCUUAGGUA